UGUAUGUUUCAGGGAGAAGAAGAUCUGGAUUCUGCCCAGACGUGACCAGAGGAGGCGUUGGGAUCUGUGAAGAUAGUUGCUGGGGAGAUAACUCAUGUCCCAGGGGAAUGAAAUGCUGCUUCAAUGGAUGUGGCCGUGCUUGCCAACCUGCUAUCUAUUAUGCGUCUAUCCCAGAAAAUGAAGAUCGACCGUGGUGGAAUGUCUGAUUCUAAAGAGCUUGUGUCCAAAAUAAAUCUUACCUGGUGCAUCACUGA